rnacentral:lncRNA from 1 species
ACUGCACAUACAACUGGUUUACGAUCACUCAACUGGGUAGAGGUGAAACAGUCCAUUGAUGAAGUUAGAAACCUUACGAUGCAAUUACCUUGGAGAAAUGUGCAUGGAUAUUCAUGAAGCUUUUGAACAGAGUGCUGUCCUUAACUGGAGCCAGUCUCAACCUGCCCAGCUGACCCUCCAACCUUGAUUGUCUGUGCAGAGAGC